rnacentral:lncRNA from 1 species
UAUGUUUGACUACCACCACUGAAGGCAGCUGAUGUCUCAAGCAGCUGGAUACUGUGGCGAUGGGAAUCAGACGAGGAGACCGCAGUCAAAAAGAAAGUUACUCAGCAACUGAUUUCCUCUCUUUGGACUGAAAAAUUAAACAGAUACUAAAUUAUGACAGUGAAUUUAGAAAGGAGGGCUCCAAGGGCUUGAAAGAACAUAUCUGGGAUGAUAUGAUGCUUCUAAGAGUACUGCAAUCACAUUGUGGCGAUCACCGGAGCAUGCCGCAUAACUACCUCCUUGGCUAAUCUGCUGUCUUCUUGGUGAUGACUAAUCCUCUUCUAUUAAACAGCAGUAAUGCUGGAAGAACUCAACUGUACAAGUGUAAUGAAGCCAGUAUUCUCCCUGGACAGAUUAGCUACAACUGACUUGACACAUACCAUCAUAAGGGCUUCAAACCUGACAAACUCUGUGCUUGCUUCUGAUUUAUGCCAUCAAGCUCCUCAGAGAAGGGAUGGAAUCCAAGUGUUCCGCUUGGUAGUACUGAUGUGCUUAACUGCCAGUUAAGGAAAGUUGCCCCUCCCCCUCACAUCCCCGCCCCUUGUGCCACCAGAACAAGGGUCCUGCGCCGUGUGCUAUCAUCAAAGAGCCGAGGCCUGUCGCUCUCUCCUGCUUGUGGUUUAGGGAAAUUUGAGCAAAGGAACUGCUUCUACAGUCUCCCAGCUGCCUCUUCACCCCUUGAGGAUGUCCAGGUUUUGUGAUUUUGUGUGGGGUGGGAGUGGGUGGGUGGGAG